rnacentral:rRNA from 1 species
AGUGAACGCUGGCGGUAGGCCUAACACAUGCAAGUCGAACGGCAGCACAGUAAGAUCUUGCUCUUACGGGUGGCGAGUGGCGGACGGGUGAGGAAUACAUCGGAAUCUACUUUUUCGUGGGGGAUAACGUAGGGAAACUUACGCUAAUACCGCAUACGACCUACGGGUGAAAGCAGGGGAUCUUCGGACCUUUCGCGAUUGAAUGAGCCGAUGUCGGAUUAGCUAGUUGGCGUGGUAAAGGCACACCAAGGCGACGAUCCGUAGCUGGUCUGAGAGGAUGAUCAGCCACACUGGAACUGAGACACGGUCCAGACUCCUACGGGAGGCAGCAGUGGGGAAUAUUGGACAAUGGGCGAAAGCCUGAUCCAGCCAUGCCGCGUGGGUGAAGAAGGCCUUCGGGUUGUAAAGCCCUUUUGUUGGGAAAGAAAAGAAGCAGGUUAAUCCCCCGCUGUUCUGACGGUACCCAAAGAAUAAGCACCGGCUAACUUCGUG